rnacentral:rRNA from 1 species
AUGCACGCUGGCGGCGUGCCUAAUACAUGCAAGUCGAGCGAACGGACGAGAAGCUUGCUUCUCUGAUGUUAGCGGCGGACGGGUGAGUAACACGUGGAUAACCUACCUAUAAGGCUGGGAUAACUUCGGGAAACCGGAGCUAAUACCGGAUGGUAUUUUGAACCGCAUGGUUCAAAAGUGAAAGACGGUCUUGCUGUCACUUAUAGAUGGAUCCGCGCUGCAUUAGCUAGUUGGUAAGGUAACGGCUUACCAAGGCAACGAUGCAUAGCCGACCUGAGAGGGUGAUCGGCCACACUGGAACUGAGACACGGUCCAGACUCCUACGGGAGGCAGCAGUAGGGAAUCUUCCGCAAUGGGCGAAAGCCUGACGGAGCAACGCCGCGUGAGUGAUGAAGGUCUUCGGAUCGUAAAACUCUGUUAUUAGGGAAGAACAUAUGUGUAAGUAACUGUGCACAUCUUGACGGUACCUAAUCAGAAAGCCACGGCUAACUACGUG